rnacentral:tRNA from 1 species
CACGUCGGGCGAGCAGGAGCCGCCGAGGCUCAUAACCUGAAGGUCACAGGUUCAAAUCCUGUCCCCGCAACCA